AUUCCUAAAAAAUUAAAAUUACAGCGAGUUAUUUGAUGCAUAUAAAAGUUAGAAUUAUAAAGAUUAGGAAUCAACAAAACUCUAUUUAAAAUCAUAUAUUUAAAAUAUACAAAUUGAAUUAAGAUAAAAUGUAUUUUUUAAAAUUUAAAUGUUCAAAAUGUUAAGUUCAAAUUUUAGGAUUUAAACAAAAGGACGUUAAAAAGUUUAAAGUUUAAAUAAAUUGCAUAAAUUUCCCGCCGCGAAGAGCGGGCCAACACUAGUAUAUAUUCAUUCACAAUCAUGUGGAAUCGAAUUGUGAAUUUGAGAAGAAAAUUUUCUCUAGUACAAUUUGCUAAAUGAUACAUUUUCGUCUCAAAAUUAUUAAAUGUCGAAUCUGUACUAAUCGCGAUCAAUUUCUUUCGACUGCCAACAUAUUAUGGACUAUUCCCACCCCUAACUGACUGUCUAUCAUAAUGAACAUUUAUUGACAUCGAUGAUUAGC
rnacentral:lncRNA from 1 species